rnacentral:rRNA from 1 species
UGGGGAAUUUUGGACAAUGGGGGCAACCCUGAUCCAGCCAUUCCGCGUGAGUGAAGAAGGCCUUCGGGUUGUAAAGCUCUUCCAGCAGGAACGAAACGGUGGUCCCUAAUACGGGUUACUAAUGACGGUACCUGAAGAAGAAGCACCGGCUAACUACGUGCCAGCAGCCGCGGUAAUACGUAGGGUGCGAGCGUUAAUCGGAAUUACUGGGCGUAAAGCGUGCGCAGGCGGUUAUACAAGACAGGCGUGAAAUCCCCGGGCUUAACCUGGGAAUGGCGCCUGUGACUGUAUAGCUAGAGUGUGUCAGAGGGGGGUAGAAUUCCACGUGUAGCAGUGAAAUGCGUAGAUAUGACAUAGAACACCCAUUGCGAAGGCAGCUUACUACGCAUAUAUUGACGCUGAGGCACGAAAGCGUGGGGAUCAAACAGG